GAUGAACGCUGGCGGCGUGCCUAAUACAUGCAAGUCGAGCGAACAGACGAGGAGCUUGCUCCUCUGACGUUAGCGGCGGACGGGUGAGUAACACGUGGAUAACCUACCUAUAAGACUGGGAUAACUUCGGGAAACCGGAGCUAAAACCGGAUAAUAUAUUGAACCGCAUGGUUCAAUAGUGAAAGACGGUUUUGCUUUCACUUAUAGAUGGAUCCGCGCCGCAUUAGCUAGUUGGUAAGGUAACGGCUUACCAAGGCGCCGAUGCGUAGCCGACCUGAGAGGGUGAUCGGCCACACUGGAACUGAGACACGGUCCAGACUCCUACGGGAGGCAGCAGUAGGGAAUCUUCCGCAAUGGGCGAAAGCCUGACGGAGCAACGCCGCGUGAGUGAUGAAGGUCUUCGGAUCGUAAAACUCUGUUAUUAGGGAAGAACAAAUGUGUAAGUAACUAUGCGCGUCUUGACGGUACCUAAUCAGAAAGCCACGGCUAACUACGUG
rnacentral:rRNA from 1 species